GGUUUGGGAGGGGUUUACGAACUCCGCAUGGUGAAGGAAAGUGCCAAGAAAAGCUGGUAAUGUGAUGAAAGCAUCAUACCCGUACCCGAAACCGACACAGGUAGGGAGGUUGAGAAUACCAAGGGGCGCGAGAUAACUCUCUCUAAGGAACUCGGCAAAAUGGCCCCGUAACUUCGGAAGAAGGGGUGCCCACGAGAGUGGGUCGCAGUGAAGAGAUCCAGGCGACUGUUUACCAAAAACACAGGUCUCCGCUAACUCGAAAGAGGACGUAUGGGGGCUGACGCCUGCCCAGUGCCGGAAGGUUAAGGAAGUUGGUCAGGGGUUCGCCCUGAAGCUGACGACCGAAGCCCCGGUGAACGGCGGCCGUAACUAUAACGGUCCUAAGGUAGCGAAAUUCCUUGUCGGGUAAGUUCCGACCCGCACGAAAGGCGUAACGAUCUGGAUGGUGUCUCAGAGAGAGACUCGGCGAAAUAGGAAUGUCUGUGAAGAUACGGACUGCCUGCACCUGGACAGAAAGACCCUAUGAAGCUUUACUGUAGCCUGGAAUUGUGUUCGGGCUUGGCUUGCGCAGGAUAGGUGGGAAGCACAGAAGUACCCCUUGUGGGGGGUGUGGAGCUAACGGUGAGAUACCACUCUGGCGAAGCUAGAAUUCUAACCUAGCACCCUCAGCGGGUGUAGGAACAGUUUCAGGUGGGCAGUUUGACUGGGGCGGUCGCCUCCUAAAAGGUAACGGAGGCGCGCAAAGGUUCUCUCAGCACGCUUGGAAACCGUGCGGCGAGUGUAAAGGCAUAAAGAGAGCUUGACUGCAAGAGUGACAACUCAAGCAGGGACGAAAGUCGGCCUUAGUGAUCCGACGGCACAGAAUGGAAUGGCCGUCGCUCAACGGAUAAAAGUUACUCUAGGGAUAACAGGCUGAUCUCCCCCAAGAGUCCACAUCGACGGGGAGGUUUGGCACCUCGAUGUCGGCUCAUCGCAACCUGGGGCGGAAGUACGUCCCAAGGGUUGGGCUGUUCGCCCAUUAAAGCGGUACGUGAGCUGGUUCAGAACGUCGUGAGACAGUUCGGUCCAUAUCCGGUGCAGGCGUAAGAGCAUUGAGAGGAGCCUUCCUUAGUACGAGAGGACCGGGAAGGACGCACCGCUGGUGUACCAGUUAUUCCACCAGGAGUAGACGCUGGGUAGCUAAGUGCGGAGCGGAUAACCGCUGAAAGCAUCUAAGUGGGAAGCCCACCUCAAGAUGAGUGCUCUCACUACUUAAGUAGGUAAGGUCACGGGCAGAACACCCGUUUAUAGGCUCUAAGUGGAAGUACAGCAAUGUAUGUAGCUGAGGAGUCCUGACAGACCGAGGGCUUGA
rnacentral:rRNA from 1 species